rnacentral:rRNA from 1 species
AGAGUUUGAUCCUGGCUCAGAUUGAACGCUGGCGGCAGGCCUAACACAUGCAAGUCGAGCGGUAGCACAAGAGAGCUUGCUCUCUGGGUGACGAGCGGCGGACGGGUGAGUAAUGUCUGGGAAACUGCCUGAUGGCGGGGGAUAACUAGUGGAAACGGUAGCUAAUACCGCAUAACGUCGCAAGACCAAAGUGGGGGACCUUCGGGCCUCACGCCAUCAGAUGUGCCCAGGUAGGAUUAGCUGGUAGGUGGGGUAACGGCUCACCUAGGCGACGAUCCCUAGCUGGUCUGAGAGGAUGACCAGCCACACUGGAACUGAGACACGGUCCAGACUCCUACGGGAGGCAGCAGUGGGGAAUAUUGCACAAUGGGCGCAAGCCUGAUGCAGCCAUGCCGCGUGUGUGAAGAAGGCCUUCGGGUUGUAAAGCACUUUCAGCGAGGAGAAAGGGUAAUGUGUUAAUAAGACAUUGCAUUGACGUUACUCGCAGAAGAAGCACCGGCUAACUCCGUGCCAGCAGCCGCGGUAAUACGGAGGGUGCAAGCGUUAAUCGGAAUUACUGGGCGUAAAGCGCACGCAGGCGGUUUGUUAAGUCAGAUGUGAAAUCCCCGCGCUCAACGUGGGAACGGCAUUUUGAGACUG